rnacentral:rRNA from 1 species
UACAGAGGUCCCAAGCGUUGUUCGGAUUCAUUGGGCGUAAAGGGCGCGUAGGCUGUGCUGUAAGUCAGGCGUGAAAGCCCCGGGCUCAACCUGGGAAUUGCGCUUGAUACUGCGGCGCUGGAAGGUGGGAGAGGAUGGCGGAAUUCCCAGUGUAGAGGUGAAAUUCGUAGAUAUUGGGAAGAACACCGGUGGCGAAGGCGGCCAUCUGGCCCACAUUUGACGCUGAGGCGCGAAAGCGUGGGGAGCAAACAGG